CCUGAUGGCUCAGUCAAUAAAGAAUCUGCCUGCAAUGCAGAAGAUCCAGGUUCAAUUCCUGGGUCAGGA
rnacentral:tRNA from 1 species